AUAAUAUAAGGUCUGGCCUGCUCUAUGAUAAUAUUAAAUGGCCGCAGUAAUUUGACUGUGCUAAGGUAGCAUAAUCAUUAGUCUCUUAAUUAGAGGCUGGAAUGAAAGGUUUGAUGAGGGGAUAACUGUCUCUAAUUUUUUUAUAUAAUUUUAUUUUUAAGUAAGAAAGCUUAAAUUUUUUUGAAAGACGAGAAGACCCUGUAGAGUUUUAUAAAUUUUUAUUAUUAUUCAUUUUUGUAAAUUAUAGGGAUAAUGUGGGUGUUUAUUUGAUUGGGGUGAUUGUAAAAUUUGUAAAACUUUUACUUAUAUUAACACUGAUGAGUGAUGUUUUGAUCCGGGAGUACCGAUUAAAAGAAUAAAUUACCUCAGGGAUAACAGCGUAAUCUUUUUUUAGAGUUCUAAUCGAGAAAGGGGGUUGCGA
rnacentral:rRNA from 1 species